UGGGGCUUGUGCAAAGGAUUUCCAGCCGACACGACGCAAAUGCAACUUGUUCCUGAGGAGCAUGUUUGCAGGAAUUGGUUCUGGCACCAUUGCUAAAGUUGUCAGCCCUGCAAAGGAUGUCCUGACGUGAGGAAAAGUAUUGAAAACAUGUUUUUAGUCAGGUUUCCAACAUCUGCAUUUUUAGGCCUUUCGUGCAGUAGCGGUGGGCACGUAGCUGAUCCGGUCCCCGGUUCACCAAAGUGCUCGAGGGAAGAGAUACUGACACCUAAAAUAGAAACAGAAAAUGGUUAAAAUAUUCUGCAGGUCACGUUGCAUCUGUGAGAAGAGGGACAGAGAAGAAGACCCUCAGAACUGAG